UUGUCUGGUUUUGAUUUAGCAAGCUGGUUUUAUGGCAAGCUGUUUCAGCUUGUCAUAACUUAUUUUUACUAGUAAAACCCAAAUCAAAUAUCUAUGUAAACCAGUAAUAAUUUUAGAUAUCAGCUAUAAAAUAUGUGCUAGUAAUAUGUUUAGAUCUACAGCGUAAUAAAGCCAUUCUGACUUGUCAUAUAUAAAGGUAUUUUGUAAAGCCAUACGUUACCAUUGACAUUUAUUCUCAUUAUCUGACCCAAAAUAACAAUUGAGGUUGUAGUUCCUACGCUGUAGUACUGACUAUUUAAUGAAACUAUUUUAGCGAUAUCUUACGGCGUAUAUCUAAAAUACACAUGUCUGCGUCUUGUUGCCAAGAUGGAGGCUGUGGGUCUUGGUGUGUAAGUUUAGGUUGAUUUUAGGUUGUAGCUGUAGUGUUGAGUCUGUUUUGGGCUGUGGGUCUUGGUGUGUUAGUUUAGGUUGUAGCUGUAGUGUUGUUGAGUCUGUUGGGUGCUGUGGGUCUUGGUGUGUUAGUUUAGGUUGUAGCUGUAGUGUUGUUGUUGAGUCUGUUGGGGGCUGUGUGUCUUGGUGUGUUAGUUUAGGUUGUAGCUGUAGUGUUGUUAAGUCUGUUGGGGGCUGUGUGUCUUGGUGUGUUAGUUUAGGUUGAUUUUAGGUUGUAGCUGUAGUGUUGUUGUCGAGUCUGUUGGGGGCUGUGGGUCUUGGUGUGUUAGUUUAGGUUGAUUUUAGGUUGUAGCUGUAGUGUUGUUGUUGAGUCUGUUGGGGGCUGUGUGUCUUGGUGUGUUAGUUUAGGUUGUAGCUGUAGUGUUGUUAAGUCUGUUGGGGGCUGUGUGUCUUGGUGUGUUAGUUUAGGUUGAUUUUAGGUUGUAGCUGUAGUGUUGUUGAGUCUGUUGGGUGCUGUGGGUCUUGGUGUGUUAGCUUAGGUUGUAGCUGUAGUGGUGUUAAGUGUGUUGGGGGCUGUGUGUCUUGGUGUGUUAGUUUAGGUUGAUUUUAGGUUGUAGCUGUAGUGUUGUUGUUGAGUCUGUUGGGGGCUGUGUGUCUUGGUGUGUUAGUUUAGGUUGUAGCUGUAGUGUUGUUAAGUCUGUUGGGGGCUGUGUGUCUUGGUGUGUUAGUUUAGGUUGAUUUUAGGUUGUAGCUGUAGUGUUGUUGUCGAGUCUGUUGGGGGCUGUGGGUCUUGGUGUGUUAGUUUAGGUUGAUUUUAGGUUGUAGCUGUAGUGUUGUUGUUGAGUCUGUUGGGGGCUGUGUGUCUUGGUGUGUUAGUUUAGGUUGAUUUUAGGUUGUAGCUGUAGUGUUGUUGUUGAGUCUGUUGGGGGCUGUGUGUCUUGGUGUGUUAGUUUAGGUUGUAGCUGUAGUGUUGUUAAGUCUGUUGGGGGCUGUGUGUCUUGGUGUGUUAGUUUAGGUUGUAGCUGUAGUGUUGUUGUUGAGUCUGUUGGGAGCUGUGUGUCUUGGUGUGUUAGUUUAGGUUGAUUUUAGGUUGUAG